rnacentral:rRNA from 1 species
GAUUUCCGGUUGAUCCUGCCGGAACCUAUUGCUAUCGGGGUGAGACUAAGCCAUGCAAGUCAGCUCUUCCCAGCCACGUGGGAAGGGCGGCAAACGGCUCCGUAACACGUAGUUAAUCCGCCCUUAGGACGGGCAUAACCCUGGGAAACUGGGGCUAACAUCCGAUAGAUGGAAACGCCUGGAAUGGCCUCCCGUCCAAAGUCCUUGGAAACAUGCUUCCAAGAGCGCCUAAGGAUGAGACUGCGUCCGAUCAGGCUGUUGGUGGGGUAACGGCCCACCAAACCUAUAACCGGUACGGGCCCUGAGAGGGGAAGCCCGGAGAUGGGAACUGAGACAAGGUCCCAAGCCCUACGGGGCGCAGCAGGCGCGAAAACUCCACAAUGCGCGAAAGCGCGAUGGGGUUACCCCGAGUGCCGUCCGAUGAGGAUGGCUUUUCCCCAGUGUAAGGAGCUGGGGGAAUAAAGGGGGGGUAAGACUGGUGUCAGCCGCCGCGGUAAUACCAGCCCCCUGAGUGAUAGGGACGAUUAUUUAGCCUAAAGCGUCCGUAGCCGGCUUAGAAAGUCUUUCGUUAAAUCUAACGGCUCAACCGUUAGGCCGCGGGAGAUACUGCUAGGCUAGAGGGCGGG